rnacentral:rRNA from 1 species
CCUACGGGAGGCAGCAGUGGGGAAUUUUGGACAAUGGGCGAAAGCCUGAUCCAGCAAUGCCGCGUGAGUGAAGAAGGCCUUCGGGUUGUAAAGCUCUUUUGUCAGGGAAGAAACGGUGAGAACUAAUAUCUCUUGCUAAUGACGGUACCUGAAGAAUAAGCACCGGCUAACUACGUGCCAGCAGCCGCGGUAAUACGUAGGGUGCAAGCGUUAAUCGGAAUUACUGGGCGUAAAGCGUGCGCAGGCGGUUUUGUAAGUCUGAUGUGAAAUCCCCGGGCUCAACCUGGGAAUUGCAUUGGAGACUGCAAGGCUAGAAUCUGGCAGAGGGGGGUAGAAUUCCACGUGUAGCAGUGAAAUGCGUAGAUAUGUGGAGGAACACCGAUGGCGAAGGCAGCCCCCUGGGUCAAGAUUGACGCUCAUGCACGAAAGCGUGGGGAGCAAACAGGAUUAGAUACCCUGGUAGUCCACGCCCUAAACGAUGUCUACUAGUUGUCGGGUCUUAAUUGACUUGGUAACGCAGCUAACGCGUGAAGUAGACCGCCUGGGGAGUACGGUCGCAAGNUUAAAACUCAAAUGAAUUGACCGGNUAGAGACGNGCGAGGACGACGACGAGGGAGGAG